UGGAUUAGGCAUGCAAGUCGGACGGUAGGGCUUUAUCGUAAGAUAGAGUUUGAGAGUGGCGAACGGGUGAGUAACACGUAGGAAUCUACCCUUAAGACGGGGACAACCCAGGGAAACUUGGGCUAAUACCGGAUGAGAGUGCGAGAGAUUGCAUUUAAAAGGAUGGCGAAAGUUGUCGCUUAGGGAUGAGCCUGCGGUCUAUUAGUUAGUUGGUGAGGUAAGAGCUCACCAAGGCGAUGAUAGAUAGGCGGCCUUAACGGGUGGUCGCCCACACUGGGAUUGAGAUACGGCCCAGACUCCUACGGGAGGCAGCAGUCGAGAAUAGUCUACAAUGGCCGGAAGGCUGAUAGUGCGACGCCGCGUGAACGAGGGAGCCCUUCGGGGUGUAAAGUUCUUUUCUAUACGAGCAGUGCUAUAUAUAUGGAUAGUAUAUAUAGAGGGAUAGUAGUAUAGGAAUAAGCAACGGCUAACUCCGUGCCAGCAGCCGCGGUAACACGGGGGUUGCGAGCGUUGUCCGGAAUUACUAGGCGUAAAGGGCAGGUAGGCGGAUCUACGAGUUUUUUGUUAAAGGCUACGGCUCAACUGUAGUAGAGCAGGAGAUACUGUAGGUCUGGAAUGCGGUAGGGGAAGACAGAAUUCCUGGUGUAGCGGUGGAAUGCGCAGAGAUCAGGAGGAAUACCGAAGGCGAAGGCAGUCUUCUAGGCCGUAAUUGACGCUUAACUGCGAAGGUGUGGGGAUCAAACAGGAUUAGAUACCCUGGUAGUCCACACAGUAAACGAUAAUCACUAGAUGUCGGGUUCUAGAUGGAUUCGGUGUCGGAGCAAACGCGAUAAGUGAUUCGCCUGGGGAGUACGAUCGCAAGGUUGAAACUCAAAGGAAUUGACGG
rnacentral:rRNA from 1 species